UGUUAGCGGCGGACGGGUGAGUAACACGUGGGUAACCUGCCUGUAAGACUGGGAUAACUCCGGGAAACCGGGGCUAAUACCGGAUGGUUGUCUGAACCGCAUGGUUCAGACAUAAAAGGUGGCUUCGGCUACCACUUACAGAUGGACCCGCGGCGCAUUAGCUAGUUGGUGAGGUAACGGCUCACCAAGGCGACGAUGCGUAGCCGACCUGAGAGGGUGAUCGGCCACACUGGGACUGAGACACGGCCCAGACUCCUACGGGAGGCAGCAGUAGGGAAUCUUCCGCAAUGGACGAAAGUCUGACGGAGCAACGCCGCGUGAGUGAUGAAGGUUUUCGGAUCGUAAAGCUCUGUUGUUAGGGAAGGUGCCGUUCAAAUAGGGCGGCACCUUGACGGUACCUAACCAGAAAGCCACGGCUAACUACGUGCCAGCAGCCGCGGUAAUACGUAGGUGGCAAGCGUUGUCCGGAAUUAUUGGGCGUAAAGGGCUCGCAGGCGGUUUCUUAAGUCUGAUGUGAAAGCCCCCGGCUCAACCGGGGAGGGUCAUUGGAAACUGGGGAACUUGAGUGCAGAAGAGGAGAGUGGAAUUCCACGUGUAGCGGUGAAAUGCGUAGAGAUGUGGAGGAACACCAGUGGCGAAGGCGACUCUCUGGUCUGUAACUGACGCUGAGGAGCGAAAGCGUGGGGAGCGAACAGGAUUAGAUACCCUGGUAGUCCACGCCGUAAACGAUGAGUGCUAAGUGUUAGGGGGUUUCCGCCCCUUAGUGCUGCAGCUAACGCAUUAAGCACUCCGCCUGGGGAGUACGGUCGCAAGACUGAAACUCAAAGGAAUUGACGGGGGCCCGCACAAGCGGUGGAGCAUGUGGUUUAAUUCGAAGCAACGCGAAGAACCUUACCAGGUCUUGACAUCCUCUGACAAUCCUAGAGAUAGGACGUCCCCUUCGGGGGCAGAGUGACAGGUGGUGCAUGGUUGUCGUCAGCUCGUGUCGUGAGAUGUUGGGUUAAGUCCCGCAACGAGCGCAACCCUUGAUCUUAGUUGCCAGCAUUCAGUUGGGCACUCUAAGGUGACUGCCGGUGACAAACCGGAGGAAGGUGGGGAUGACGUCAAAUCAUCAUGCCCCUUAUGACCUGGGCUACACACGUGCUACAAUGGACAGAACAAAGGGCAGCGAAACCGCGAGGUUAAGCCAAUCCCACAAAUCUGUUCUCAGUUCGGAUCGCAGUCUGCAACUCGACUGCGUGAAGCUGGAAUCGCUAGUAAUCGC
rnacentral:rRNA from 1 species